CUUGCUCCUCUUGCUCCUCCUCCAGACUCUCUCCAGACACUCUCCACAGAAGUACUGGAGGAAAUUAAGGUUGUUUCAUUUCUACUAAGUCCUGCAUUGUUACUGCUACAUUGUUACAAACUAUUUUUUCUGUGACUUUUGUGAAUUCAAUUCAACCAAUCCACAUAUCACAACAUGGAUCACCUACCUCCAUGGAAUUGCUAUUUGAUUGUUCGUUUUGAUUGCGGUCCCAGGUGAACCUGCUGGACUAAAGACUUCUAUAUCUGUUGUCAUUAUCAGGGUAAAGCUACCCUGCUCUUAGGAUUCUCUGACAUAGGAAAGGGAGCCUUGUAAGUUUCACUGACAUCAAUGUCAAGGCAGCGAGAGAUGAGUGUGGCGAGCUGAAUGAAGGGUCAGCACAAAGCCAGGUUCAGAACCUCAAUGUCAGGUAAUAAAGUGAGGGGUGCACUUCAAUGGAUUAAAUACAGAGCCAAAAUAUGGCCAGGGUGCUGAUAUAUGGAAUAAUAUGUCAGAUGGUUUCCUGAAGAGCACGUUUGACUGCAACACAAACUGAAUAAGUUUUACACAAAGAUCUUCAAGCACUGAAGCCGCAAUUUGUCAGGCACUCUGGGACCGAGAGAGUUUUGUCGACAGUGGAGCCCAAAGAUAAGCAUGCAGGGGCUGAACCUGUUCCGGACUGCAGUGCCCUCUGCAGCACCUCAGCACCACACUCAGUCAAAUCUCUCCCAGCACAGCCAGAUCACAUCUGUUAAUCUCCUCUGACCAUGACUCUUCAACAGUGGUGGGAAAAGUAUCCAAUUGUCAUACUUGAGUAAAAGUUAAGAUACCUUAAAAGAAAAUGACUCAAGUAAAAGUGAAAGUCACCCAAUAAAAUUCUACUUGAGUAAAA